GGGAAGUGCUUGAAAUCUGGUAUAAAAUAUACAAAUCCUUUUGAAAUCAAGAAAGGAGAAGACCCUUGAACAAGAAAGCCGCCAAAAAACUGGCCAGAUCAGGCUUGCACACCGGUUAUGGUUUGGUUGCAGGGAGACAUUGUAACUCUUAGUGUUAGUUUCCGCACAACACUAAUGAAAAGUGUAACUACCAUCUGAGGAGUCACCGAAAGGACACAGAACUAUGCAAAUUAGAUCUGAUGAGUCACCAUAAAGAGUCAAAGACAUACGGUGCUACAGAACUCAGAUAUGAGAAAGUAGUUAAAAGAAAGAU
rnacentral:misc_RNA from 1 species